AAAACGGCCCUUUUCAGGGCCACCAAUCGACAUUAAAAUAUUAAG
rfam:Acyrthosiphon pisum strain LSR1 Contig8191, whole genome shotgun sequence.